AUGCACAUUUCAUUGUCCCACUCUUCUGUAAGAUGUGAGAUAUUUCUGAUGUGCUAGAUUAAAGCCUGGAGGUAAAUUAGCAGUUUGGCUUGAUGGUGCCGGUGCUGCCAGUCCCCUUCAUACAAAC